GACGAACGCUGGCGGCGUGCCUAACACAUGCAAGUCGAACGGCAAGGCCCUGCUUUUGUGGGGUUCCCGAGUGGCGAACGGGUGAGUAACACGUGAGUAACCUGACCUUGACUUUGGGAUAACUUCAGGAAACUGGGGUUAAUACCGGAUAGGAGCCCCUGCUGCAUGGUGGGGGUUGGAAAGUUUCGGCGGUCGGGGAUGGACUCGCGGCUUAUCGGCUUGUUGGUGGGGUAGUGGCUUACCAAGGCUUUGACGGGUAGCCGGCCUGGGAGGGUGACCGGCCACAUUGGGACUGAGGUACGGCCCAGACUCCUACGGGAGGCAGCAGUGGGGAAUAUUGCACAAUGGGCGGGAGCCUGAUGCAGAAGCGCCGCGUGCGGGAUGACGGCCUUCGGGUUGUAAACCGCUUUCGCCUGAGACGAAGCGUGAGUGACGGUAAUGGGUGAAGAAGCACCGGCUAACUACGUG
rnacentral:rRNA from 1 species